GUCAGCCUGACCUUUGAAGCUUUGAAGCCAGGGAUUGACUUCUCUCUAGCUGUGAAAGUCCUAGAUGGCGGCUUCUUCCCAUGAAAGGCUGUCUUGUCUGCAUUGUAGCCUCCUUCA
rnacentral:miRNA from 1 species